rnacentral:rRNA from 1 species
GCGGCCGAUAUGCGAUUAGUUAGUUGGUGAGGUAAAGGUUCACCAAGGAUUGGAUCAGUAGCUGCUCGGAGAGGAGGUCCAGCCCCACUGGGCUUGAGCCCCGGCCCAGAUUCUUACGGGAGGCACCAGUGGGGAUUUUUGGCCAAUGGGGGCAAUCCUGAUCCAGCAAUCCCGCGGGAGUGAAGAAGCCUUUGGGUUUGUAAAGUUCUUUUGUCAGGGAAGACACGGGAUGUCUUAAUAAGAUGUCCUAAUGACGGUACCUGAAGAAUAAGCCCCGGCUAACUACGUGCCAGCAGCCGCGGUAAUACGUAGGGGGCAAGCGUUAUUCGGAAUUAUUGGGCGUAAAGCGUGCGCAGGCGGUUAUGUAAGUCAGAUGUGAAAUCCCCGGGCUUAACCUGGGAAUGUCAUUGGAAACUCAUAACUAGAGUGUGUCAGAGGGGGGUAGAAUUCCACGUGUAGCAGUGAAAUGCGUAGAGAUGUGGAGGAAUCCCCAUGGGGAAGGCAGCCUCUCUG